rnacentral:lncRNA from 1 species
GGAGAAUGAGAAAUGCAGAGGCAGCAGCGGCGGCGGCGGCAGUAGCAGCGGCGGCAUUGCUCCAAUAGGCUCCCCUCGCUCCAGUCUCUGCUCUCGAGCCUGGGAGAGACAUCGCGCCACCCAGCCCCAGCCGAGCGGACCCUAGGCUCCCCGAGGCUCUCUUGGUGACACCAGGGCGCACCUCACACUCACCGAGGGGGCGGAAAAGAGAACAAAUCCAGAAGUUUCAUAUAUAA